rnacentral:misc_RNA from 1 species
UACUGGCAGGAUCAACCAGGCAACAGUGAAGAACAAGUAUCCUCUCCCCCGGAUUGACGAGCUCUUCGAUCAGCUUCAGGGUGCGCAGUACUUCUCGAAGGUUGACCUGAGAUCGGGUUAUCAUCAGCUGCGAGUCAGAGAGCAGGAUGUGCAGAAGACGGCGUUUCGUACUCGCUACGAGCACUAUGAGUUCCUCGUGAUGCCGUUCGGGUUGACGAAUGCGCUAGCAGUGUUCAUGGCUUUGAUGAACAAGAUCUUCGCUCCGCACCUCGACAGCUUCAUAGUGGUCUUCAUCGAUGACGUUUUGGUCUACUCAAAGUUGAAAGAGGAGCAUGAGCAGCAUUUGAGUAUAUCUCUACAGUUGUUGCGCGACAACCAGUUGUACGCGAAGCUCAGCA